AGAGUUGAUCAUGGCUCAGAACGAACGCUGGCGGCGCGUUUAAGCAUGCAAGUCGAGCGGCAAGGGCCUUCGGGCCCCUAGAGCGGCGGACGGGUGAGUAACACGUGGACAAUCUGCCCCCCGGCCCGGGAUAGCCCAGGGAAACCUGGAUUAAUACCGGAUGAGACGGGACCCGCGAUGGCGGGACCCGGGAAAGGCGCUGCGGCGCCGCCGGGGGAUGAGUCUGCGUCCCAUUAGCUAGACGGCGGGGUAACGGCCCACCGUGGCGACGAUGGGUAGCCGGCCUGAGAGGGUGGACGGCCACAUUGGAACUGAGACACGGUCCAGACUCCUACGGGAGGCAGCAGCUAAGAAUCUUCCGCAAUGGGCGAAAGCCUGAACCGGAGCGACGCCGCGUGAACGAAGAAGGCCGUGAGGUUGUAAAGUUCUUUUCGGGAGGGGGAACAACCGUGGCAGGGAAUGGCCGCGGGGUGACGUGAAUCCCGGAAUAAGCCCCGGCUAACUACGUGCCAGCCGCCGC
rnacentral:rRNA from 1 species